rnacentral:rRNA from 1 species
AUGAUUCUAUCUCAGCACAAGAAGCUGCGGACAAUUUUUAUCAAUGAAUCAUUGAACCAGACUGCUCUUAUUCCUAUAAUUGACUGUUGGUCCAGUGCCUUGAAAUAUCUCCGUUUUCUGUCUUGUGGCUUUAAUGCUAUAAAGGUGCUGCCUGAGACUGUUGCUCGUUUUAAGCUUCUGAGGUGCUUAAAGUUUGGAAGCUCCAGGACUUGUACUUUUCAUACAUUCCCAGAGUCAUACUGUUGCCUUUAUAAUCUGCAAACGUUCGUGGGGCUAGGCUUCAUAUUCCAGAACUUACCAAGGAACUUCACUAGACUUGUCAACUUGCAGCACUUCAGAAUUAAUACUCUUACUCAUCAGAGACACUGCACACUAUAUUCUGUUCCUUCCGAGUUCGCCCAUAUCAGAUUGCUAAGGUACAUGAAUCUUAAGGGAGAACUGAAUCUGGAAGGCAUGUCCUAUCUGCAACCAAAUGAUGUACAACAGCUCGAAAUGAGCAAAAGAAAGGAUAUUCGGAAACUAAUAUUAGCUUUUGACCAGGGUAGGGGCACCUCUGAUAGUGAUAUGGAAGUUCUUGAGGCUCUUUGCCCCCAUCCAGAUGUUAUUCAGUGCCUGGAUAUCAAGUAUUUCAAAGGCGACUUAAAUCCUACUUGGUUUAAGCCAUCAAACCUGCAGAGCUUAAUGCAGCUCCAGUUCAUAACAUGUGAUAUACGUACAGUAUCUUGGGGUGGUGACCAUGCUGGCACUAUGUUCUCAGCUCUCACUUUUUUGAACAUUUCUAUGUGCAGCAGACUGUCUUCGCUUGAACAACUUCUACAGGCACCUGGUCUUCCAGCAAUCAGAAUAAUUAGUAUUGACCGUUGCCCAGAGUUGGUGAACCUUUUUGUUGAAACCUUUAAAGCUUUUGAAUGUCUUGAAACACUGAGCAUCUGGAGCUGCCCAAAGAUUAAUUGGGAAAGGCUUGUUGGGUUGCCGCCUUCAUUGCAAUAUCUGAACAUGAUUGAUUUUGGUCAAUUUUCUGAUCACUUUCUGAGCUGCCUAGAACAUCUAGCAUCGCUACUGAAACUGAAUUUAUCUUCUGAAUCUUUGACUUCAAUUCCCAUACAACAAUGGUCAUCUCUACUGCGCCUGGAUGUUUGGAACUGUAGCAAAUUAACAACAGUUGACUUCACUCCUCGUUCCUUACCAGCAGUAAAAGUAAUCACAAUUCGAAAUUGUGAAGCUUUAUUGUCUCUACCUGGCAAAACGUUUGUGGAGUUCUGUUGUCUAGAGGAAUUGAUGAUACGUGAAUGUCCAAAUAUUGAGUGGAGAGGCUUGACAUUUCCUAUAUCGCUUCGGGAGCUGUACCUCAAUGACUGUGGAGACAUCUCACCAUGGGUUCCGAACUCACUGGAGCACCUCAACCACUUAACCCAUCUGGCGUUGAUGAACCUCAAGUACAUCAAAUCAAUCUCUGCACAAAUAUGGGCACAGAGUUUGUCAAAGCUGGAAUUCUUGCAGAUCUGUGAGUGUCCUCAUCUGCAAGCGAUUGGUGGUCCCAAAGGAAUUGCAGGCAUUACUAAUGCAUUUGUUGAAUCGUGUGACAAGCUAAAGGGUAUAAAGCAACCUUUCCGGAGAGGUAGAAUGGCCCACUUCGGCCACUUUUGA